GAUGAACGCUGGCGGCGUGCCUAAUACAUGCAAGUCGAGCGAACAGACGAGGAGCUUGCUCCUUUGACGUUAGCGGCUGACGGGUGAGUAACACGUAGGUAACCUACCUAUAAGACUGGGAUAACUUCGGGAAACCGGAGCUAAUACCGGAUAAUAUUUCGAACCGCAUGGUUCGAUAGUGAAAGAUGGCUUUGCUAUCACUUAUAGAUGGACCUGCGCCGUAUUAGCUAGUUGGUAAGGUAACGGCUUACCAAGGCAACGAUACGUAGCCGACCUGAGAGGGUGAUCGGCCACACUGGAACUGAGACACGGUCCAGACUCCUACGGGAGGCAGCAGUAGGGAAUCUUCCGCAAAGGGCGAAAGCCUGACGGAGCAACGCCGCGUGAGUGAUGAAGGUCUUCGGAUCGUAAAACUCUGUUAUUAGGGAAGAACAAACGUGUAAGUAACUGUGCACGUCUUGACGGUACCUAAUCAGAAAGCCACGGCUAACUACGUG
rnacentral:rRNA from 1 species